CUGGGAGAAGAGGGAGGCUUGGGCUGUCUUCUAAUGGGGCUGAUCUUUAGCCUCCCCCCCACCGCCAAAAAUACAGUAUUUUUCUGGGACUGCUUCAUGGAGUCCAAGAUGCCACCCGUUUGCUCAACAGCUGUAUUGGGACGGGGGGCAUCUUCUGAGCAGGAAGCAUUUUCCCGUGCAGUUCAGCUGACAUCUUUAGACGCAGGAACAGCCCACAGGCCUCAGGAAGGAUGCCUAGAAGUUUCCAGGGGAUGGAUUCCCUUCUGCCCAGCCAGAUAACGGCACUGUAGCCCCGCAUGUGGCCGGAGGGCAUCAGGUUGGGGAAAAUAGCCAUCAGGAAGAGGAAAGGCCACCCAGAUCCCUCAGGCCAAACGUGCCGCUUCUGGCUUAGCUGUGAUUCGGUGGAGAAACACUGUCCUGUGAAGUCCCACUGCUGGAGCUCCACCGUUGUGGGGAAGGGGGGCCGAGUCUGAUCCUUCCCCCUCACAAGAGAAUUGGCCCAUUUUGCCCACUUUGUAAAAUGGUGUCGCCUAAAAAUGGGAUUGAAAGUGAGAGAGGGAGGGACCGUAAGGCAGUUUUUUCCGAUCUCGGCAACUUUAAGAGUUGAAGUCCACUCAUCUUCAAGUUGCUGAGUUUGAAGAAAACUGCUGUAAGGGAACAGAUCCUCUUCCCACUGCAAGCCGCAUCAUUAGCUGGCAGUGGUGGUCUCCUCUGUAAACUGGUUUGUGCUAGCCGCUUUUACCGCUGAUGUAGCUGGACGGGAGGAACAAAAGACCUUGCACAAUAUUUUGCCCCUCCAAUUUCAAAAACACUCUCUUUGCAUUUUUUAAAUCUGUAAGUUCCUUUUGCUUGCUCAGCUUUUCCUAAUCGAUCUGGAACUGCCGUGCUCUGAUCAUCUCUAAACUGAAAUGGUGUAAUGUUUUGUUUUCUAAUGUGACUGUUUUUAAAUUAUGAAAGGAAAUAAAAUACCAGCAAAACAAGAAAGAGAGAAAAAGCUUCAUGAGGAAAAACAAAUUAUGUUUGAAACCUCAAAACCAAGGAAAUAAAAAAAUCACGUCGUAACUCUCCAAUAAGGGAAUUUUUAGAAAGUAUGAGUAUGCUAUUUUCAAAAGAAGUUUUAAAUAUUACUGUCUGAGUGAUUGUAUUAGACAAGCAAUAAAGACUCUGUAAUCACAAGAAUACAAAUAAAAUCUUGUUAAAUCCA